rnacentral:snRNA from 1 species
ACCUUUGCACAAUGGCAGUAUCAGCCAAUGAGGUUUAUCCGAGGUGUGAUUAUCGCUAAUUAAAAACAAAAAUAGAAUCACUUGAGAGUAAAUUGCACCAUCUGACUCUUCAA